UUAUUUUUUUUCCUUUCUUACUAUUUUCAUCAAACCAAAUGGAAACUAAAUAAAAAUAUGAGCAAUCGCACAAAAAAAAAAAAAAAAACUUCCAUCAAUUUCAAUUCUAAAGCUGAAAUUCCAUACCUGCCAAACACAGCCUUAGUAAAUUCUCUAAAAUUGAAAAAAGUUCCCAAAUUUUUUUAAAAAGGAAGUUUCAUUUCUCCUUUAAGCUCUGCUGAUUAGUUUGGUGUCAAAUGUCAAUGUAUGUAUCCGCAACUACAAGAUAGAAUAAAUCUUAAAAGUUUCUUUUAGAUAUAUUUUUUUUCCCUGUUUUUUGUGAGUGAUCCUUUUUUUGCUCCUCUCUUUCAUUUUUUCUGUUACCCAUGAAAAACCAAUGUUACUUAAAAUCCUUUACUAACUUUAUAUGCUCAAUCUUUUCCCCUCAAAUUAUUGUUAUGCGAAUUGCUAUUCAUACAAUUGCAGGAAAUUGAAAUCUCUCCUGAUGACAAAAGGGUGACUAAAGACGAAACCUUAUUGGUUGAUAGGAAUUCCGAUUUGUAGGAAUUUUGGAAUUCAUCCCCUUAUUAUAUUAAAGACGAAGACAGAGACAAAACCCGAAUGAGUAAGCAAUCUGCAGAAAUUAGAUAUCUUUGAGAAGCUUGAAAAGAAAGAUCAGGGACAAGAUGAGAAAGGUGAAAAAGAAAAGAAAGAAGAUGAAGAGGAAGAAGAUGAUGAAAGAAUCGAAGAGGGGGACGAAGAAUUCAGUGAUGAUGGGGAUUAUAAUCAGGCACUGCUGUUUUGGUGUAGGGUCGUUCUUGUUGGCAACCUUAACUAAUUAGCCUCCAAAUGGAAGAACAUUGAUUUUGAUGACGAUGAAGAUGACUUCAACAUGGCUGACGACAAUGAUGAUGAAGCGGCGUAUUAGAUGUUGUUCUUGGGAAUGCUUUUCUGGCUUUCUUCAACUUGGCAAAUGGAAGCAUU